GACGAACGCUGGCGGCGUGCUUAACACAUGCAAGUCGAACGGAAAGGCCCUGCUUUUGUGGGGUGCUCGAGUGGCGAACGGGUGAGUAACACGUGAGUAACCUGCCCUUGACUUUGGGAUAACUUCAGGAAACUGGGGCUAAUACCGGAUAGGAGCUCCUGCUGCAUGGUGGGGGUUGGAAAGUUUCGGCGGUUGGGGAUGGACUCGCGGCUUAUCAGCUUGUUGGUGGGGUAGUGGCUUACCAAGGCUUUGACGGGUAGCCGGCCUGAGAGGGUGACCGGCCACAUUGGGACUGAGAUACGGCCCAGACUCCUACGGGAGGCAGCAGUGGGGAAUAUUGCACAAUGGGCGGAAGCCUGAUGCAGCAACGCCGCGUGCGGGAAGACGGGAUUCGGGUUGUAAACCGCUUUCGCCUGUGACGAAGCGUGAGUGACGGUAAUGGGUAAAGAAGCACCGGCUAACUACGUG
rnacentral:rRNA from 1 species